CUGGCGGAGUGCCUAAUACAUGCAAGUCGAGCGAACGGACGAGAAGCUUGCUUCUCUGAUGUUAGCGGCGGACGGGUGAGUAACACGUGGAUAACCUACCUAUAAGACUGGGAUAACUUCGGGAAACCGGAGCUAAUACCGGAUAAUAUUUUGAACCGCAUGGUUCAAAAGUGAAAGACGGUCUUGCUGUCACUUAUAGAUGGAUCCGCGCUGCAUUAGCUAGUUGGUAAGGUAACGGCUUACCAAGGCAACGAUGCAUAGCCGACCUGAGAGGGUGAUCGGCCACACUGGAACUGAGACACGGUCCAGACUCCUACGGGAGGCAGCAGUAGGGAAUCUUCCGCAAUGGGCGAAAGCCUGACGGAGCAACGCCGCGUGAGUGAUGAAGGUCUUCGGAUCGUAAAACUCUGUUAUUAGGGAAGAACAUAUGUGUAAGUAACUGUGCACAUCUUGACGGUACCUAAUCAGAAAGCCACGGCUAACUACGUGCCAGCAGCCGCGGUAAUACGUAGGUGGCAAGCGUUAUCCGGAAUUAUUGGGCGUAAAGCGCGCGUAGGCGGUUUUUUAAGUCUGAUGUGAAAGCCCACGGCUCAACCGUGGAGGGUCAUUGGAAACUGGAAAACUUGAGUGCAGAAGAGGAAAGUGGAAUUCCAUGUGUAGCGGUGAAAUGCGCAGAGAUAUGGAGGAACACCAGUGGCGAAGGCGACUUUCUGGUCUGUAACUGACGCUGAUGUGCGAAAGC
rnacentral:rRNA from 1 species